ACAUGUGUUUGAUGCCUAAGACUGUUCAUGGAUUACUUCUUUUUAUUCACAGCAACUGUGAUAGAUCCUGCCUCCCUCAUGUUUUUCCAGAAUAGACAACUGAAGUGUAGAGAGGUCAAGCAAUUUCUUGCCCUGAUAUAACUGUUUCAGAGGACAGAUACACAAUGGAUAUAAAAAUAGGAGCUGUGAGACAAUCCAAGGUAGAGAGCCCUCCAUCUCCUCACCAACAACCUCACCAGCCA